GUUACAUAACUAAUGUAAUUUAGGAUGACGUCAAGUCCGUAUGUCCUUUAUGUUCUGGGCUACACACGUGCUACAAUGGAUAGUACAAUACUUUAAAACUAUCUUUAGUACAGAUUGUGAAUUGGAACUCAUUCACAUGAAGAUGGAAUCGCUAGUAAUCGCAGGUUAGCACUACUGCGGUGAAUAUGUUCUCGAGCCCU
rnacentral:rRNA from 1 species